UGUGCCGUUUCAUCACCUAAGUUAUGAGCAGGACUAGUAGGUGUAUCAUCUAAAUCUACUGGAGCUUGGGUUUCAUCAUCAUCAUCAUCCUUAUUUCCCUCUAAGAUAGGUGCAUUAGGAUAAAGAGCAUUCAUAAUACCAUCGUCUAUUCUAUCACCAACUGCUACAUCAUGUAGAAAUCAAUAUUGCUAAAUUGAAAACAAGGGUGAUCACUAUCAAGGAUUCCUAAGGGUUCAUUAGGAUUUCUAGGUUGGCUACUACUUUGAACUUGCUUAU
rnacentral:lncRNA from 1 species